UACGUAGGGCGCAAGCGUUAUCCGGAAUUAUUGGGCGUAAAGAGCUCGUAGGCGGUUUGUCGCGUCUGCCGUGAAAGUCCGGGGCUCAACUCCGGAUCUGCGGUGGGUACGGGCAGACUAGAGUGCAGUAGGGGAGACUGGAAUUCCUGGUGUAGCGGUGAAAUGCGCAGAUAUCAGGAGGAACACCGAUGGCGAAGGCAGGUCUCGUGGGCUGUGAACUGACGCUGAGGAGCGAAAGCAUGGGGAGCGAACGG
rnacentral:rRNA from 1 species